rnacentral:pre_miRNA from 1 species
UCUUAAGGAUGAGCAAAAGUGGUUUCUUGAGAUGAAAUCUACUUCUGGUGAAGAUGCUGUGAA